AGCAGCCGCGGUAAUUCCAGCUCCAAUAGCGUAUAUUAAAGUUGUUGCAGUUAAAAAGCUCGUAGUUGAAUUCGGGAUCAAUACGUCGGUCGUGCUUUCGGGUACGUACUGGCGUCAUUGGUUUCUCCUUUCUGACGAACCAUGAUGUCAUUAAUUUGGUGUUAUGGGGAGUUAGGACUGUUACUUUGAAAAAAUUAGAGUGUUUAAAGCAGGCAUUAGCUUGAAUACAUUAGCAUGGAAUAAUGAAAUAGGACGUUCGAUCCUAUUUUGUUGGUUUCUAGGAUCAACGUAAUGAUUAAUAGGGAUAGUUGGGGGCAUUAGUAUUCAAUUGUCAGAGGUGAAAUUCUUGGAUUUAUUGAAGACUAACUACUGCGAAAGCAUUUGCCAAGGAUGUUUUCAUUAAUCAAGAACGAAAGUUAGGGGAUCGAAGACGAUCAGAUACCGUCGUAGUCUUAACCAUAAACUAUGCCGACUAGGGAUCGGAUGAUGUUAAUUUUUUAAUGACUCAUUCGGCGCCUUACG
rnacentral:rRNA from 1 species